UGUUAUGAUGGCAUUGCCAUAAAUCAGGGUUAGGGAUGUGUUGGUGCGUCAUUCAUAUAAUUAGCGCCAUAAAGCUGGUGGUAAAUGGAGAUAAGAGGGUUUUAUACAAAUAGCCUUGUUGACUUCUCGCGAUAGGCUAAGGUAUGAACUAAGUAUUUAUGAUUUAUUGUAUGCCACUUGUGAAUCCUCAAUGAUGAUCGAUGCUCGUUUCUUUCAAUUACACGAUUCGACCAAAUGUCCUUUGAAUCACAUUGCAACCGAUGCGUUGACUUCUAUUUUUUUUUUUUUUGCACCUGAAGCUAAUUAUAGUGACAAGUUGGUGAAAAAAGUAAUGUGAAACUUUGCGCACAGAGUGGGACGUCACAUCCCAAACACUCGCUCCAAUGCAGGAACACAAGAUCCGCGCACUAUAAAUAAAUAGCUAAAUCCUCAUGUGUAGUCACACUUUGAAGUGAUUGUAUAUAAAUGUAUCCUAGCCUAUCCGUUGUUUAUGUGUAGAUGAAAGUAAAGAACAUUUAAGAAGAGCAACGAUGAAGACACGGCCAGGGUCUGGGCAGAUUUAAACAAGUGAAUUUAUGAAUCAAGAAUGACCAAUGCCUCUUAUUUGCAUCAUUCUUCUUUCUCCUUUUCUUCUUCCUGUAGUCUCCUCCUGUUACAGACAUAAGACAUCGGAGGAUAUCGUGUACGACUACAAAAGCCUUGUGAAAGUUUUUCUCGACGAUGCUGACAGAUAUUUGAGGGUAAGACACAUGCUGGUUUCACAGACCUUAUUCAUUAAGCGGCCUACAAGCGACACAGGUUUGGGGAACUGAAUGCGGAAAUCCACAUUUUGUUACAUCCUUGACACUGGUAUGAUUCAGAAUAUCGAAUAGAGUUCGACAAAUAACAUAACUAAAGACGACAAUUAGGCGGUGUCAAUAUGUUUGCACAUUUUCUUAAGUCUAGUGUUGUUUGCAACUUGAACUAUUGUACUGUGUCAGGAAAGUAAUGAAGUGGGGCCUGAGUUUAAAUCCAUUUGAUUUAGUAGUCUCUCACACACGCACUGCUGCAAUCAGCCUCUCCGUCUGGUUGCUCCUGCUUUUGUAUGCAUGUGCCAGUGGUUCACAAGAAGGCACGUAGAGAGUAGGUUUACUUCUGAUGCCUUUAACCUCUUUUGGUACUGAGUACAGUGCUUAAAAAUGUAGAAGAGAAGGAAAGCAAUAUAAGCAUUGACUGCAAAGAGUCGACACUUAACCCACAAAACCAGACCAUUAAGAACAUUAACAAUAUAGUCUGCAGAAUGGAUCGAUGGGAGGCGUCCUUCAAAGACCGGCUGGUGGAGACGGUCAAGGCAUCGGGGGAGUGCGGAUGUCGCCAUGACACGGCCAAAGCAACCCGACCUCCGUUGAAGCGCCGGACACUAUGCAAAGUCAAGUCCCUUCUGAGUUCCAUGAGGAACAUCUACGAGAGUGUUUGUGCACAGUCAUCUCACCGUAACUCCGAGGUAGCGACCUCUGUAACGACUUUGUGAGACUAUUCCUGUCCUGUAUAAGCUAAGAAAAACUUCUCAGAAGAGGAAACUUCACUUCAGCUAUCCUGUCAAAUGGCUUCAUUACCCACUUGCUGCCGUGUGUGUGCGUGUGCGUGUGCGUGUGUGUGUGUGAGAGAGAGAGAGAAAGGGGAGCUGCAGGGUAGCCUUUUAAAACCAAGCAAUCACAUGAAAAAAUGAAUAUGCUAACUUCAAGUGAAAGUUUUAAGUGACUUUCAGGGAGUAGUUGAGGGAAUUUUGAAAAGUCGUAUCUAUAUCAAAAUGGGAUAUGAUGUAGCAGUUUCUUGUGGAAACUUUUGCACCUUUACUUUCGCUUUAUGCAUCUUUGCACAUUUACUUUCGCUUUGUUCAGAAAGGAACACUAAGGCAAGUCUGGGCAUGUGUGGAUUUGCCAAAUAUGCCUGUCAUUAUGCGCCUCAGGAUCUAUAUCAAACUGGUGCAAUUAUCACAUUCUGUGAUAAAAUGUGAUAACUUUAGCGUAAAAAACAUCAAAAUCAGACGGCCAUGUUUUGGCCUGAUGUUUGUUUUUGUGCUUUCAUUAAUGCCUUUUUCUGUGCAGAGAUCAAUCGAUUUCACGCCGUCUUAAAACAGCAUGAAGAAGGCUUUCAGAGCAUGAAGUACUUAAGAUUUAUUUAUAUAAUUUCAAAUAAAGAAAACAUGUGUUAAAAAGGAAAGUAAUGCAGGACAAAAAGUGUUAUUUUGUAAUUCGCGAUUUCAACUGAUUAGAUCAUGCAAAAGUAAGGAAAGAAACUCACAGCUUGCAAAAUGUUAGCCCAGAGGUUAAUAGGGAAACAUUACUUUUGUAACCUGUGAAAUUCAAGAAAUGUGUAAAUAUAAUUUUGUAAAACUAGCUAAAUGGCAUUGAUGUCUACAAUUCCAAUAAAUAUACAUAAGCUUUUGUCUAAUGUGCAUUCUCAAUUAAAAAAAGUCAUUACA